CGGAGGGUGCGAGCGUUAUCCGGAAUUACUGGGUUUAAAGGGUGCGUAGGCGGCUUGGUAAGUCAGGAGUGAAAGUUUGCGGCUCAACCGUAAAAUUGCUUUUGAUACUGCCAGGCUAGAAUCAGGAUGAGGUCAGCGGAAUGUGGCAUGUAGCGGUGAAAUGCAUAGAUAUGCCAUAGAACACCAAUUGCGAAGGCAGCUGGCUAGACCUGUAUUGACGCUGAGGCACGAAAGCGUGGGGAGCGAACAAAGGAUUAGAUACCCUGGUAGUCCACGCCCUAAACGAUGCUUACUCGACGUAUGGCGCUAGACGUUGUGCGUCCAAGGGAAACCGUUAAGUAAGCCACCUGGGGAGUACGACCGCAAGGUUG
rnacentral:rRNA from 1 species